rnacentral:lncRNA from 1 species
AACCUAUUAAGAAUCCAUCCUUUCGAUCCUCUUUCUCCUCUUCUUUCCUAUCACACGAUGGACGAGCCUUGAUUGGAAUUGGACUACGGACAUGCAAAGGUGAGAGCUGCUCAUAGCCAAAAAGGGAUGGACAUUGAAGAUUGACCGGACAAGCGUCUACAUUGUUUGAUUCAUUGUCUGUUGACUCUGUGUAAUGGAAUGGUUCAGGUAAUCUCCGAGAAAAG